GAUGAAGAACGUAGCGAAAUGCGAUACUUGGUGUGAAUUGCAGAAUCCCGUGAACCAUCGAGUCUUUGAACGCAAGUUGCGCCCGAAGCCAUUAGGCCGAGGGCACGCCUGCCUGGGCGUCACACGUCGUUGCCCCCCCAUCUACUCCUUCGGGAUUGCGGGGGGCGGAUGAUGGCCUCCCGUGCGCCUCGUCGCGCGGUUGGCAUAAAUGCCAAGUCCUCGGCGACGCACGCCACGACAAUCGGUGGUUGCGAAACCUCGGUUGCCCGUCGUGUGCGGUCGUCGCGCAUCGAGGGCUCGAAAAAAUUGCCGGGCUCCGGCUCGGCUUUCAACGCGACCCCAGGUCAGGCGGGGUUCCCCGCUGAAUUUAAGCAUAUCAAUAAGCGGAGGA
rnacentral:misc_RNA from 1 species